UACAACAAAGCAUCCCAAGGUGCCCGGGACCGUUUCAGGUUGGCCGGGAGAAUAGGGAAGCAGGUGCAAGACCUGCGCGGGACCGCCGCCGUAAUGGCCGAGCCUGAACCCAACCCCAUGUCACUGCACGAUGGUGCGGGAAGACGCGGGUCCGGGCCGUGACGCCAGAGCCGGAAGACCUGCCUUGGAAUUCAUACUGCG
rnacentral:ncRNA from 2 species